CCCACCCUUCCUGACCCGGGCCGUGACAUCCGGUCCCACCAUCCGUGGCGCUUGCUGGCAGGAGCGCCAGAUGCCGGCACCCAGGCAUGCAGAAUGGUCACGUGCUCGCAGCCACCACACGGCGCUCUGCUGCGGGCACCUGAGAAACGGAGGGGCUGACCAGGCGAGACAGCCGGGGCCGGGAGGAGGCUGGACGCUGGGCAGUGCCCGGGCUCGGGGUGCAUACACUGUGCCACUGGGCAGGAUGUGGCCUGGAGGAAGAGUCCAGCAGGGCAGCGUCACCGGCUGGGAGGGGCCACCUGCCGACAGCACCUGGCCUUGCAGGUGUGGCAGCCGCCUCUCAGGAGCAGGGGCUGGAGUGAGGGGCUGCUGUCCGCCCCGCCCCGUGUGAGUCAGAGAGGCCGUGACCGCCCGCGGGCGAAGGCUGCCUCCUCCCCGCAGGGAUCGCGCCGCCGCCCUGCUUUUAUGAGAGCUCCGUCCCCUGGUCUCACUUCUUUGGACGUCCUGACAUGGCUGAACAGAAUAAACCAAGCGUGAAGUUACUUGUUUCCUGGCUUAGGGAGCAAAAAAUCCUCAUUUGACCUUGGAACUGUUCCAGGACACUAUUUUUUCUUCCCCUUCAAGGCUCACGUUGAAGAUACUUCAAGUUCCACUCCAGGCCUCCUCGAUGAAGAGAGUAUCACAAUAAAGCGAGUCCAGGAACGUUCGGCUUCCCAGUGCAUACAACAGCUGCAUUUACACUCUGUGUAGUCCAAGCUCCGUCACCCAGGUAGAGUGCAUCAUUAUAGCUCACUGCAACCUCCAACUCCUGGAAUCAAGCGAUCCUCCUGCC